CCUACGGGGAGCUGCAGUGGGGAAUAUUGGACAAUGGGCGAAAGCCUGAUCCAGCCAUGCCGCGUGUGUGAAGAAGGCCUUCGGGUUGUAAAGCACUUUCAGUUGGGAAGAAAGCCUUGGGGCUAAUACCCUCGAGGAAGGACAUCACCCACAGAAGAAGCACCGGCUAACUCCGUGCCAGCAGCCGCGGUAAUACGGAGGGUGCGAGCGUUAAUCGGAAUUACUGGGCGUAAAGCGCGCGUAGGCGGUCUGAUAAGCCGGUUGUGAAAGCCCCGGGCUCAACCUGGGAACGGCAUCCGGAACUGUCAGGCUAGAGUGCAGGAGAGGAAGGUAGAAUUCCCGGUGUAGCGGUGAAAUGCGUAGAGAUCGGGAGGAAUACCAGUGGCGAAGGCGGCCUUCUGGACUGACACUGACGCUGAGGUGCGAAAGCGUGGGUAGCAAACAGGAUUAGAUACCCCUGUAGUC
rnacentral:rRNA from 1 species